GUUACGCAUGCAAGUCGAACGAUGAAGCCCUUCGGGGUGGAUUAGUGGCGAACGGGUGAGUAACACGUGGGCAAUCUGCCCUUCACUCUGGGACAAGCCCUGGAAACGGGGUCUAAUACCGGAUAAUACCUGCCUGGGCAUCUGGGUGGGUUAAAAGCUCCGGCGGUGAAGGAUGAGCCCGCGGCCUAUCAGCUUGUUGGUGAGGUAGUGGCUCACCAAGGCGACGACGGGUAGCCGGCCUGAGAGGGCGACCGGCCACACUGGGACUGAGACACGGCCCAGACUCCUACGGGAGGCAGCAGUGGGGAAUAUUGCACAAUGGGCGAAAGCCUGAUGCAGCGACGCCGCGUGAGGGAUGACGGCCUUCGGGUUGUAAACCUCUUUCAGCAGGGAAGAAGCGAAAGUGACGGUACCUGCAGAAGAAGCGCCGGCUAACUACGUGCCAGCAGCCGCGGUAAUACGUAGGGCGCAAGCGUUGUCCGGAAUUAUUGGGCGUAAAGAGCUCGUAGGCGGCUUGUCACGUCGGUUGUGAAAGCCCGGGGCUUAACCCCGGGUCUGCAGUCGAUACGGGCAGGCUAGAGUGUGGUAGGGGAGAUCGGAAUUCCUGGUGUAGCGGUGAAAUGCGCAGAUAUCAGGAGGAACACCGGUGGCGAAGGCGGAUCUCUGGGCCAUUACUGACGCUGAGGAGCGAAAGCGUGGGGAGCGAACAGGAUUAGAUACCCUGGUAGUCCACGCCGUAAACGGUGGGAACUAGGUGUUGGCGACAUUCCACGUCGUCGGUGCCGCAGCUAACGCAUUAAGUUCCCCGCCUGGGGAGUACGGCCGCAAGGCUAAAACUCAAAGGAAUUGACGGGGGCCCGCACAAGCAGCGGAGCAUGUGGCUUAAUUCGACGCAACGCGAAGAACCUUACCAAGGCUUGACAUCGCCCGGAAAGCAUCAGAGAUGGUGCCCCCCUUGUGGUCGGGUGACAGGUGGUGCAUGGCUGUCGUCAGCUCGUGUCGUGAGAUGUUGGGUUAAGUCCCGCAACGAGCGCAACCCUUGUUCUGUGUUGCCAGCAUGCCCUUCGGGGUGAUGGGGACUCACAGGAGACUGCCGGGGUCAACUCGGAGGAAGGUGGGGACGACGUCAAGUCAUCAUGCCCCUUAUGUCUUGGGCUGCACACGUGCUACAAUGGCAGGUACAAUGAGCUGCGAUGCCGCGAGGCGGAGCGAAUCUCAAAAAGCCUGUCUCAGUUCGGAUUGGGGUCUGCAACUCGACCCCAUGAAGUCGGAGUUGCUAGUAAUCGCAGAUCAGCAUUGCUGCGGUGAAUACGUUCCCGGGCCUUGUACACACCGCCCGUCACGUCACGAAAGUCGGUAACACCCGAAGCCGGUGGCCCAACCCCCUUGUGGGGAGGGAGCUGUCGAAGGUGGGACUGGCGAUUGGGACGAAGUCGCAACUCCCUC
rnacentral:rRNA from 1 species